GGAGAGGUCGCAUAGAGGCUGAGUGCACUGGUCUUGAAAACCAGCAAUGGGCAACCAUUCGCGGGUUCGAAUCCCGCCCUCUCCG
rnacentral:tRNA from 1 species